rnacentral:rRNA from 1 species
AUUGAACGCUGGCGGCAUGCCUAACACAUGCAAGUCGAGCGGAUGAAUGGAGCUUGCUCCUGGAUGCAGCGGCGGACGGGUGAGUAAUGCCUAGGAAUCUGCCUGGUAGUGGGGGAUAACGUCCGAAAACGGGCGCUAAUACCGCAUACGUCCUGAUGUAGAAAGUGGGGGAGCUUCGGACCUCACGCUAUCAGAUUAGCAUAGGUCGGAUUAGCUAGUUGGUGGGGUAAAGGCCUACCAAGGCGACGAUCCGUAACUGGUAUGAGAGGAUGAUCAGUCACCCUGGCAGAGAGAAAGAGCAGCGACACUGACGCGAGGACGCAGCCGGGAAUCUUACGGGAGGGAGGAGUGCCUGAUACAGGACUGCGGCGUGUGUGCAGAAGGUCUUAGGCCUGUAAAGCAAUUUAAGUUGGGAGGAAGGGAAGUACGUUAACCCCUUGCUGUUUUGACGUUACCGAGAGAAUAAGCACCGGCUAACUUCGUG